rnacentral:rRNA from 1 species
GUCUAUGGCCAUACCACCCUGAACGCGCCCGAUCUUGUCUGAUCUCGGAAGCUAAGCAGCGUCAGGCCUGGUUAGUACUUGGAUGGGAAAAGACCAUGGGCUGCCAAAAGAAAGAACAAGUCUGUCUUGACA